AUUGAACGCUGGCGGCAGGCCUAACACAUGCAAGUCGAACGAGUGGCGGACGGGUGAGUAAUGUCUGGGAAACUGCCCGCUGGAGGGGGAUAACUACUGGAAACGGUAGCUAAUACCGCAUACCAUCGGAUGUGCCCAGAUGGGAUUAGCUAGUAGGUGGGGUAAAGGGUCACCUAGGCGACGAUCCCUAGGUGGGCUGAGAGGAUGACCAGCCAGACUGGAACGGAGACGCGGUCCAGACGCCUACGGGAGGCAGCAGUGGGGGAUAUUGCGCAAUGGGCGCAAGCCUGGUGCAGCCAUGGCGCGUGUAUGAAGAAGGCCUUCGGGUUGUAAAGUACUUUCAGCGGGGAGGCGUUACCCGCAGAAGAAGCACCGGCUAACUCCGUGCCAGCCGCCGCGGUAAUUC
rnacentral:rRNA from 1 species